rnacentral:rRNA from 1 species
CCUAGUAACGGCGAGUGAAGAGGGAAGAGCUCAAAUUUUAAAUCUGCCUUGUUCCAAGGUCGAGUUGUAAUUUGAAGAAGCGUUUUCUUGGGCUCGCGGCCGGUAGAAGUUCUUUGGAACAGGACAUCAUAGAGGGCGACAAUCCCGUCCGUGACCGGUCGUGCGUUCAUCUACGAUACGCUUUCAAAGAGUCGAGUUGUUUGGGAUUGCAGCUCCAAAUGGGUGGUAAACAUCACCUAAGGCUAAAUAUUGGCGAGAGACCGAUAGCGAACAAGUACCGUGAGGGAAAGAUGAAAAGAACUUUGAAAAGAGAGUUAAACAGUACGCGAAAUUGUUGAAAGGGAAACGAUUGAAGUCAGUCGUGCUGGCGCGAAAUCAACCAUCUCGUCUUGAGGUCACAUGGCGCGACGAGCCUCAAAACCGUCACGAAGCGUGAACUCUUGACGAAAAGGUGCACUUUCGUGUCCGCUGGUUAACAUCAAUUUCGAUCGUCAUAAAAAGGCUGGAGGGAUGUGGCUCCUUCGGGAGUGUUAUAACCUUUAGCGGAAUGUGGUGUUCGGGAUUGAGGAUUGCAACGAAUACCUUCAGGGCUGUUCCACCUGGCUUCUCAUUGGUAUCCUGGUGACGACGGCUUGCUGACUUUGUUAGGAUUCGCCUCUGAACAGGCUGGAGUGUGAGCAAAUUCGUUAAGGAUGUUAACGUAAUGGCUUUAAACGACAAGGGCGAAUU